UUGAAUCCUUGCACUAAUUUUUUUUAAUUGGUCCCUAUAAAAUUAAACCAAUUAUUGUCAAGAGGGAUCUAAUUAGAAAAAAAAUUUUGGUGUAGAAAUCCAACUAAAAAAGAAAAAAAUUAUAAGAACCUAAUUUAAAAUUUUGCAAAACUAUA